GACGAACGCUGGCGGCGUGCCUAAUACAUGCAAGUCGAGCGAUGAGACGAGGUGCUUGUACCACCGACGUUAGCGGCGGACGGGUGAGUAACACGUGGGGAACCUACCUAUAAGCGUGGGACAACAUCGGGAAACGGGUGCUAAUACCGCAUAAUAUAUUUAAACACAUGGUUCAAGAGUGAAAGACGCAAUUGCUGUCACCAAAAGAUAGAUCCGGUUGUCAUUACCUAGUGGGUAGGGUAACGCCUAACAAGGCGGAGGAACAGUAGCCGCCCGGGGAGGGUGACCGCCCACAUGGGACUUGGGACCCGGUCCAGACUCCUACGGGGGGCGGCGGUGGGGAAUCUUCCGCAAGGGGCGAAAGCCUGACGGAGCAACGCCGCGUGAUGGAUGAGGGUCUUCGGUCCUUAAACCUCUUUUAUUAGGGAAAACGAAAGGGGUAAGUAACUACGCACGUAGUGACGGUACCUAAUCAGAAAGCCACGGCUAACUACGUG
rnacentral:rRNA from 1 species